rnacentral:rRNA from 1 species
GACGAACGCUGGCGGCGUGCUUAACACAUGCAAGUCGAACGGAAAGGCCUGCUUUCCCUUGUGGAUUGCGGGUACUCGAGUGGCGAACGGGUGAGUAACACGUGAGUGAUCUGCCCCCAACUUGGGUAUAAGCCUGGGAAACUGGGUCUAAUUCCCGAUAGGACUGCAGGGUGGUGCCUGUGGUGGAAAACGAUUUUCUAGUGGUUGGGGAUGAGCUCGCGGCCUAUCAGCUUGUUGGUGGGGUAAUGGCCUACGAAGGCGGCGACGGGUAGCCGGCCUGAGAGGGGGGACGGCCACAUUGGGACUGGGAUACGGCCCAGACGGCAACGGGAGGCAGCAGUGGGGAAUAUUGGAGAAUGGGCGGAAGCCUGAUGCAGCGAGGCCGCGUGGGGGAUGACGGGCUUCGGGUGGUAAACUACUUUCGACCGAGAGGAAGCCACCUGGUUGGAAGGGUGGUGACGGUAGUGGUAGAAGAAGCACCGGCUAACUACGUG